GCUAGGGAAGAGGCUGGCGGGAAGCCGGGCCGCGCGGCGCGCGCCGAGGAAUCGGUGAUUCGGCCGGUGGGCAGGGUCACUGCGGCGGGGCCGGGGGAGCGCCGAUAGCAUGGAUAGGCUCAGAGGGGCGCAGGGGUUUGGCGGCUCUUGGAGUUCGCCUCGCCGACCGCCAUUUCACAUCUUAUGGAAGAGGCGGGGGCUGCCGCGGAGAGGAUAGUUUUUGUUUUGUUUUCACAAGGGCUCAGAAGAGGGCAUUGGAGUCUCUGGAACUGGACUUACGGACAGACGGCUGCAAACCGUGAUGUAGGCGCUUAACACCAAGCCUGGAUCCUCUGCAGGACCAACGAGCACUCCUGACUGAUGCCAUCUCUCCAGGCCUGUCAAGAACCUUUUAUGAAAAGCUUGAUUUUCUUAAAAA